rnacentral:rRNA from 1 species
GACGAACGCUGGCGGCGUGCUUAACACAUGCAAGUCGAGCGGUAAGGCCCUUUCGGGGGUACACGAGCGGCGAACGGGUGAGUAACACGUGGGUGACCUGCCUUUAGCUCUGGGAUAAGCCUGGGAAACUGGGUCUAAUACCGGAUAUGACCCUAUGGCGCAUGUUGUGGGGUGGAAAGCCUUGUGCGGCUAGGGAUGGGCCCGCGGCCUAUCAGCUUGUUGGUGGGGUGAUGGCCUACCAAGGCGACGACGGGUAGCCGGCCUGAGAGGGCGACCGGCCACACUGGGACUGAGACACGGCCCAGACUCCUACGGGAGGCAGCAGUGGGGGAACUCUUGC